ACUCCUACGGGAGGCAGCAGUGGGAAUAUUGCACAAUGGGAAGCCAUCGAUGCAGCCAUGCCGCGCUGUGUGAAGAAGGCCAAUUCGGGCUUGGUUAAAGAUACUUUUCAGCAGUGAGGAAGGUGGAGUCGUUAAUAGCGGCCUCAUUUGACGUUAGCUGCAGAAGAAGCACCGGCUAACUCCGUGCCAGCAGCCGCGGUAAUACGGAGGGUGCGAGCGUUAAUCGGAAUUACUGGGCGUAAAGCGCAUGCAGGUGGUUUGUUAAGUCAGAUGUGAAAGCCCGGGCUCAAGCCUCGGAAUUGCAUUUGAAACUGGACAGACUAGAGUACUGUAGA
rnacentral:rRNA from 1 species